CCCUUAGAUGUUCUGGGCUGCACGCGCGCUACACUGAUGCAUUCAACGAGUCUAAAACCUGCUCUGAUAGGGGUGGGUAAUCUUUUGAAUGUGCAUCGUGAUUGGGAUAGAUGAUUGCAAUUUUUCAUCUUCAACGAGGAAUGCCUAGUAAACGCAAGUCAUCAGCUUGCAUUGAUUACGUCCCUGCCCUUUGUACACACCGCCCGUCGCUCCUACCGAUUGAAUGAUCCGAUGAAUAUCAUGGAUUGAGGAUGCAAGCAGGUUCGCCUGUCUUCAUCUUCGAGAAGUGAAGUAAAUCUUAUCAUUUAGAGGAAGGAGAAGUCGUAACA
rnacentral:rRNA from 1 species